CAGCAGAGUCAGAGAUGUGCCUACAGCUGAAUAUCUCAAUUUCAGUACACUUGCUGAAGGCACUGGGAUUUCUGAUAGAUGCAGAAAGCUCUACCUUAACUCACUCUCUCUGGAAGAAGAAAGCAUCUCCAGGUGCCAGAUUGGAAGCUGGAGCAAGAUAAAGGACCCCCUAAAUUCUACUAGUUCUCGGCUACCUCCUCUGAGUAUUUCUUCAUCCAUUGUAACUCAGUAGCAUGGACCUGGCAUUUUGGUUACUUUACUUCCCAUUUUCUGGGAAAUUUUAAGUUGAACUUUUAUUCCACUUUAAAUUCUUCUGCAGCUCCCAUGUUUCUGGGACAAUAACUGCCUUGUUUAUUCCUCCUUGCAUGUGGGAAUGUUAUUUUAUCUCUCUGGCUGUCUCAACACAUUGACAAACUACAGAUGGCAUUUUUAUGUGUAUGACAUUAAUAAGCGCUUAUAUGUUUAUGUGUUUAUAAACAUAUAUGUUUAUUUUAUC